UCCCCUGUGGUGUAAUGGCAGCACUAGGGUUUUUGGUACCCUAUGUCCGGGUUCGAGUCCUGGCAGGGGAGC
rnacentral:tRNA from 1 species